GACGAACGCUGGCGGCGUGCUUAACACAUGCAAGUCGAACGGAAAGGCCCUGCUUUUGUGGGGUGCUCGAGUGGCGAACGGGUGAGUAACACGUGAGUAACCUGCCCUUGACUUUGGGAUAACUUCAGGAAACUGGGGCUAAUACCGGAUAGGAGCUCCUGCUGCAUGGUGGGGGUUGGAAAGUUUCGGCGGUUGGGGAUGGACUCGCGGCUUAUCAGCUUGUUGGUGGGGUAGUGGCUUACCAAGGCUUUGACGGGUAGCCGGCCUGAGAGGGUGACCGGCCAAAUUGGGACUGAGAUACGGCCCAGACUCCUACGAGAGGCAGCAGUGGGGAAUAUUGCACAAUGGGCGGAAGCCUGAUGCAGCAACGCCGCGUGCGGGAUGACGGCCUUCGGGUUGUAAACCGCUUUCGCCUGUGACGAAGCGUGAGUGACGGUAAUGGGUAAAGAAGCACCGGCUAACUACGUG
rnacentral:rRNA from 1 species